rnacentral:rRNA from 1 species
UAUAAUGGGUCAGCGACUUAUAUUCUGUAGCAAGGUUAACCGAAUAGGGGAGCCGCAGGGAAACCGAGUCUUAACUGGGCGUCUUAGUUGCAGGGUAUAGACCCGAAACCCGGUGAUCUAGCCAUGGGCAGGUUGAAGGUUGGGUAACACUAACUGGAGGACCGAACCGACUAAUGUUGAAAAAUUAGCGGAUGACUUGUGGCUGGGGGUGAAAGGCCAAUCAAACCGGGAGAUAGCUGGUUCUCCCCGAAAGCUAUUUAGGUAGCGCCUCGUGAAUUCAUCUCCGGGGGUAGAGCACUGUUUCGGCUAGGGGGUCAUCCCGACUUACCAACCCGAUGCAAACUGCGAAUACCGGAGAAUGUUAUCACGGGAGACACACGGCGGGUGCUAACGUUCGUCGUGAAGAGGGAAACAACCCAGACCGCCGGCUAAGGUCCCAAAGUCAUAAUUAAGUGGGAAACGAAGUGGGAAGGCUCAGACAGCCAGGAUGUUGGCUUAGAAGCAGCCAUCAUUUAAAGAAAGCGUAAUAGCUCACUGGUCGAGUCGGCCUGCGCGGAAGAUGUAACGGGGCUAAAUUAUGCACCGAAGCCGCGGCAGCGAUAUGUAAAUAUUGUUGGGUAGGGGAGCGUUCUGUAAGCCUGUGAAGGUGACCUGUGAGGGUUGCUGGAGGUAUCAGAAGUGCGAAUGCUGACAUAAGUAACGAUAAUGCGGGUGAAAAACCCGCACGCCGGAAGACCAAGGGUUCCUGUCCAACGUUAAUCGGGGCAGGGUGAGUCGACCCCUAAGGCGAGGCUGAAAAGCGUAGUCGAUGGGCAACGGGUUAAUAUUCCCGUACUGGUGGUAACUGCGAAGGGGGGACGGAGAAAGCUAAAUCAUCCGGGCGACGGUUGUCCCGGUUUAAGCGUGCAGGUGGACUGACCAGGCAAAUCCGGUCGGUUGUUAACACUGAGGCGUGACGACGAGCCACUACGGUGGUGAAGUGAUUGAUGCUCUGCUU